AUUUGUUGUUAGAAGUUAAACCAC
rnacentral:snRNA from 1 species